CAUGACUGUAGAUGAGGCUAUUUUAACAAUGCUACAUGUUGUUUAAUGACAACUUGAGGGUCCUAAAAAUCAUGUGAACAAUUUUUUUUUUUGCAGAUUUUUCUUCUGCUUUUAAUAAUAUUGUGCCAUCUGUUCUGGUCAAAAGAUUAUCUGUAUAUUUCUCUCUAGAUGGAGGAGUGAUUUUGUGGUUGCAGGAUUUAAGUAACGGAGUUCAAUGAGUGUGUGUGGGUACCUCAUUGUCUGACAAACUAAUCGCAAAUAUUGGUUCCCCACAAGGUUGUGUCCUCUCACCUUUACUGUUUAUUAUGUACACAAACAAUUGUAGGAGUACUUGCCCAGCGAGAUAUUUAAUCAAAUUUGCAGAUGAUACUGCAUUGGUUAGUCUCCUUAAAGGGGAUGAGCACAGUCAUGGACCCUUUUAACUGAGUUUGUUUCUUAGUGUGAUUGUAUCAAAUCUCAAGUUAAAUGUUUCAAAAUCUAAAGAAAUGUGCACUGAUUUUAGGAAAGCGUCCUCAACGAGUGCGACCAUUAAAGCGGAGCAGAUUCAGAGGGUAGAAGAGUAUAAAUACCUUGGAGUUGUUUUAGAUCACAAACUGUGGUGGGAUAAAUGGACUCACGCUGUGAACAAAAAGGACCAGCAAAGACUAUAUUUCCUUAGGAAGAUGGUGUCAUUUAGUAUGACUGAAUCUCAACACUUGAGCUGGAGGUAAUCAUCGCAGGUGUAUCCAGUGAAGAUGGAGGUGCCUUGGUCCUGUUGUCUGACACCUACAAUGAAUAAACCGUCCCUGCAGCUGUGGCCAUGGACAUCAGUGCUGAAGAUCUUCCAUCACACUGAAACUAACACUGUCCAUUGUACUGAGCUGUUGCUGGAGGAAUUUUUUUUUUUUUUUUUACUGGUUACAUUUUUUUUUAUUAAUUCAGUGUUCAUGAAUGUUCAUGUAAAUUUCAAUUUAAAAUGUGUUCUUUUUAAUAAGUUUUGUAAAAAAUUAAAUAAAAAUUGCAUUCUAUAAAAGUAAAAUAAAUAAAGUCUGAUGCGUCUUAUCACCUCCCUACCUUUAAAUACAAAUGCUUAAUGCUGCUGAUCGUAAUGCUACCAAGUAUGUUAAAC
ensembl:lncRNA